GGCCUUAUAUUAGCAUUGAACAUCAACUGCUAGAGAGAGUCUUUAAAGAUGAAAUGCAGCAACCAGGAAUAGUGGAUCACGUUCACCAUUUAAAUUCAAGUUCAUGCAGCUUUCCUUUUGCAAGAAUAAGGAAACUGUAUACAUUUCAUUUGUCAAUUACAAGGUAUGUAUCAUUUAGCAAUAAAGAGAACCAAGCUGCUUGACAAUCUACAGUACUAAGUUGUUCAAAAUGUUGGGAGAAAAGGCAAAAGAACUAACAAAAUUUUGGCAGUUGGCACUGCUCAUCUUCCAUUAUCUCAUUUUCUACAUGUACAUUGUUGCAAACCCUUAUAUAUCUCUCAUUACAAAGUGUGUCUGAGAAAGCAAAGAGG
rnacentral:misc_RNA from 1 species